rnacentral:rRNA from 1 species
UACGUAGGGCGCAAGCGUUGUCCGGAAUUAUUGGGCGUAAAGAGCUCGUAGGCGGUCUGUUACGUCCGCUGUGAAACCCAGGGCUUAACCCUGGGCUUGCAGUGGAUACGGGUAGACUAGAGGCAGGUAGGGGAGAAUGGAAUUCCCGGUGUAGCGGUGAAAUGCGCAGAUAUCAGGAAGAACACCCGUGACGAAAGCGGCUCUCUGGAACGGUACCGACGCUGAGACGCGAAAGCGUGGGGAGCGAACAGG